rnacentral:tRNA from 1 species
UCUAAAAUGGCAGAAAAUGCACAAGAUUUAAGCUCUUGCCAUGAAGAAUUAUUUCUUCUUUUAGAA